AGUGAACGCUGGCGGUAGGCCUAACACAUGCAAGUCGAACGGCAGCACAGUAAGAGCUUGCUCUUACGGGUGGCGAGUGGCGGACGGGUGAGGAAUACAUCGGAAUCUACUUUUUCGUGGGGGAUAACGUAGGGAAACUUACGCUAAUACCGCAUACGACCUACGGGUGAAAGCAGGGGAUCUUCGGACCUUGCGCGAUUGAAUGAGCCGAUGUCGGAUUAGCUAGUUGGCGGGGUAAAGGCCCACCAAGGCGACGAUCCGUAGCUGGUCUGAGAGGAUGAUCGGCCCCCCUGGAACUGAGACACGGUCCAGGCUCCUACGGGAGGCAGCAGUGGGGAAUAUUGGACAAUGGGCGCAAGCCUGAUCCAGCCAUACCGCGUGGGUGAAGAAGGCCUUCGGGUUGUAAAGCCCUUUUGUUGGGAAAGAAAAGCAGCAGGUUAAUACCCCGCUGUUCUGACGGUACCCAAAGAAUAAGCACCGGCUAACUUCGUG
rnacentral:rRNA from 1 species